UCCCCUCGCCGCCCACUGAGCCUUGCUGCGUUCCGUAGCGGCAGCGCAGGGAGGCGGAGUGCCGGGUAGGGCCCAGGGUCAGGCAGGCCCGACGUGCUGGCGAGAUGGCGGCGCAGAAGAUUAACGAAGCGCUGGAGCACAUCGCUAAAGCGGAGAAAUAUCUGAAAACUGGAUUCUUAAAGUGGAAACCAGAUUAUGACAGUGCAGCUACAGAAUAUGGGAAGGCAGCUGUUGCCUUCAAGAAUGCCAAGCAGUUUGACCAGGCAAAGGAUGCCUGCUUACGGGAAGCUCAGGCACAUGAAAACAACAAAGCUCUCUUCCAUGCUGCCAAAGCUUAUGAACAAGCUGGUAUGAUGCUAAAGGAGAUGCAGAGGCUCCCUGAAGCAGUUCAGCUGAUUGAGAAAGCCAGUAUGAUGUACCUGGAGAAUGGGACACCAGACACAGCAGCUAUUGCACUGGAACGGGCUGGAAAGAUAAUAGAAAAUGUGUGCCCAGAGAAAGCUGUGCAGCUCUAUCAGCAAGCAGCAUCUGUGUUUGAAAAUGAAGAACGUUUACGGCAAGCAUUAGAAAUGCUAGGGAAGGCAUCAAGACUUCUAGUCAGAGGACGCAGGUUAGAUGAGGCUGCACUCUCUCUUCAAAAGGAGAAAAGUAUUUACAAGGAAAUUGAAAAUUAUCCUACAUGCUAUAAGAAAACUAUUGCUCAAGUUUUAGUUCAUCUUCACAGAAAUGACUAUGUUGCUGCAGAAAGAUGUGUGAGGGAAAGUUAUAGUAUACCAGGUUUUAAUGGAAGUGAAGACUGUGCAGCACUAGAGCAACUUUUAGAAGGGUAUGACCAGCAAGAUCAGGAUCAAGUUUCUGAAGUCUGUAAUUUGCCACUAUUCAAAUACAUGGACAAUGAUUAUGCCAAGCUUGGUCUUACCUUGGUGGUGCCAGGAGGUGGGAUCAAGAAGAAAUCACCAAAUGCUGCACAAGACAAAGCAAGAGGACCAGCCACAGUGGGCUCUCAUGCUGAUGAGGAAGAGGAUGAAUAUUCUGGCGGAUUAUGCUAGCUACAAACAGAGUGUCUGAGAUACCUGACUUAUUUGUGACAUUGAGCAUAUCCAAAGGUACUAGAUUUACCAGAGCUUCAUUGCAAUUGUGAUAUGGGAAUGCUGAUAUUAACUUGGCAGCUUCUGGGUACAGUGCAGGAGAAAAAGCAUGAUUGUACCUAUCAUCUAGAAACAUCUUUGGACUUAAAUUUCUUACCUGGUAGGAGCUUCCUCAGGGCCCUGCCUUCAGUUGUUAGGAAAAAUUUGAGAGAAAUUUUUACUAAAAGCACAGUUUAGAAACCAAAAGAAACCAAAACCCCAGAAGCACUGGAACAGGGAGAGUGGUACGAAGUUUUAAAUACUGGUUUUCAACAGCUGAUCCUUUUUGGUCCCAGUAAUAUGUUUGCUGUUGUUUUCCGAGUGAAAAACGUGAUCAUGCAUCUGGCUAUUUGUCUCCCAUUUAACACUAUUUAAGGCAGACUGUGCCAGGCAGAAUUUUCAACUGGUAUAAACCCUGGGGGGAGCAUUCAGUUUAUUUCCAAAUUUUUUUCUUUUUUUUUUUUUUACUCCAUGGCAGAGUAUUAUUUUAAUGCUUUAUUCUUUGCAAGCAUUAUCCAAAUGGGUGUGGAAAAUACUAAGUCUACCAGCUUGAAAUCUAUCUUACAAGCUUAAAAGUACACACUUACCUUUCAUCUUAAAAAGUUUAUUGACCUAAAGUCUUUGGAAAUACAUGUGUGCAUAGUGUUUGUAAUGUACAUCUUGGUAAUAGAAGGAGUGGACACAUUUUCUGAGUGGUGUUUGUAAACCAUGCAAUAACCAAAAAAGAAACUGAAGGUAGCUGAUGAUGUGCUUGAGUGUAAAGCUGUGAAGACAACAUUUUAACAGAAACUCACAUGGAAUGUUUCAAUUAUAUGUUUGAGUUAAUGAUUGUUGUAGGUGUUUAUUUACUAAUCAAUACCCUAUUUUAUGAAGGCAUUUCAUUCUUUCAUAUUUUCAAUCAAAUAUCUCUUACAAUUGGCAUGUUUCAAAUUAACUCAAAAAUCCAAAGUAACCAAAUUUUAAUGCAUCUUCUCUGUUUGGUUUCAAAUCAUCCUGUGUUUUGCAAGCUAAACUUCUGUAGUGUCUUAAAUUUGUUUGAACAUUUUAUGCUUAAAGGUUGACAAUAUGGGAAGCUUUACCUGUUGUCUCUUUCUUCAGAAGAACUUAAUCAAUUAGUCAAGAUCUGCACUAGGGUGAGAUCACUUGGAAUCCAAUAGGGAUUUUUAUGUGAUACAUGAUGCCCAAAGUUCGAUAAACAAUAGACCAAAAGCACAGUGUUAAGUGUUGGUGCAGUUUCUGCCACAUUAAGGAAUCAGAUAUCUUCAAAACUAUCAAGCAAAUACCUGACAUAUAUGUGAUGUCUGGUGUUUUUUGGUGAAGGUAAAUUUUCAGAGGGUUAACACUUUCCUUGAGGGUGGGUAGUAUUGAUAGCAUUGUGAUGAGUGCACAAGCUACAGCAUGGUUUGCAGCAAAGUCACAUUAUAUGUUUUAAUGGGCAUUUAACAAGCAGUUCUGUCUCAUCUUAUUAUGUAAAAACCAGCUUGGAUUUUAAAGCUAUUUGAGACUACACCUACAGUUUUGUGCUGACAGCAAGUUUUCCUUUGUUAUUAGUGAUGUAUAUACAAGUUUUUGCUUUUCUAUAAAAUAGCCUAAAUGCAGUUUUGAGAAUUGAGUUUCUUUUCAUUGAUUACAAGUAUACAUGAAAGGUGGUUUUGAAGAACUGCUGUAGCUUUUUUUUCCACCCUUGGAGCAACUCACUCCAGUGACAGUGCACUUUUUAUGGGGAGUCUUUAUCACAGGUAAAAAAAAAAAAAAAAGCACAUGUAGGAGGAAGGAGCACUGGUAACACUAAGUAGUGCUCUUCAAGCUUUUUCUACUGCUUCCAAUUCUGAAGUAAGUUUUAUUGUGUGGUGUGUGUGAACAAUUGUAUACAUCUGAGUAGUUGACAUGUAUAAGAGGAAUAUUUGGGAGCCUUGUGUGCUUCUAUGAAAGAGCUUGCAGACUUUAUUUAAACUGUGCUUGUAGCACCAACAGGCCCUUAAUAGAAAAAAUUAAAAUCAAUAUAUUAAAUUCUUAAAGCAUACUUUUCAUAUUGCCAAAAAAAAUAAUAUGGAUGUGCAAGACUGUCUUGCCACUCCCAAAGCUUUUCUCUAGUUUUCCUGUGCCAAGUUUGGAAAAUCUGGGACAAAAGUAACUUGUUCUAAAUAUGCUUAGCUGCCAUUGAAUUGAAUGGAACUUUUCUGGAUCUUCCAAAUAGAAUCUUAAUCUUUGAUUGCAAUGUUGCUUCAAAGACCAAAUCUGCAGAAACGGUAGUGUCUGAAAAUAAGAUGGUUUAUUUUAUAUAACUUAUUCUCCUAUUUUAGGCAAUGAAAGUGUUAUAGGAAUGUUAACUGCCUUUUAGUAAAUGUUUAACUAUAGAACAAGCUAUGUGUAUAUUAUGUGUAAGUGUUUGGUUCUAUCUUUCAAAGCAAUUUGCACAUGUGUGUAAAUAACAUUUAAGUGAUUUAAAAUGGAACAAAUACCAUUUACAGCAAAAAAGUUUCUAAAACCAGUGUUGACUAUAAGAAAAAUAAAAAGAAAUUGUGCAUGAAGGCUGAUUGGUGGCCAAUGCCAUGUAUAUGUAAAAUCAGAAAACUCCUAAAUUAUCUGUAACUUAAGACUCAUUUUUUCCAAGUGCAGUGUGAAACCUGUGCUUUAUUUGUUCUUUUUCCAAAUCUAUGGUGUAUUAGAAUACAUAAUGUGUUUGUAACAGCUCUACAGAUGCUGCUUCUUGAGAAGAGGCUGUGUGUUUCACCAACAUGAAAAAUAAAACUUGAAACAGACAUGUUUGUGCUGGCUUUCCCUGUUGUUGAUGAGGUCCUGCUGAGCACGACCAUUUGAAAAUUAAUAUUAUUUAUUCUCAAGCAGA